GAUGAACGCUGGCGGCGUGCUUAACACAUGCAAGUCGAACGGUGAAGGCGGAGCUUGCUCUGCUGGAUCAGUGGCGAACGGGUGAGUAACACGUGAGCAAUCUGCCCCUGACUCUGGGAUAAGCGCUGGAAACGGCGUCUAAUACUGGAUACGAGCUGCGAAGGCAUCUUCAGCAGCUGGAAAGAAUUUCGGUCAGGGAUGAGCUCGCGGCCUAUCAGCUUGUUGGUGAGGUAAUGGCUCACCAAGGCGUCGACGGGUAGCCGGCCUGAGAGGGUGACCGGCCACACUGGGACUGAGACACGGCCCAGACGCCUACGGGAGGAAGCAGUGGGGAAUAUUGCACAAUGGGCGAAAGCCUGAUGCAGCAACGCCGCGUGAGGGACGACGGCCUUCGGGUGGUAAACCUCUUUUAGCAGGGAAGAAGCGAAAGUGACGGUACCUGCAGAAAAAGCGCCGGCUAACUACGU
rnacentral:rRNA from 1 species